GACGAACGCUGGCGGCGUGCCUAAUACAUGCAAGUAGAACGCACAGUUUAUACCGUAGCUUGCUACACCAUAGACUGUGAGUUGCGAACGGGUGAGUAACGCGUAGGUAACCUGCCUGGUAGCGGGGGAUAACUAUUGGAAACGAUAGCUAAUACCGCAUAAUAUUGAUUAUUACAUGAUAAUUAAUUGAAAGGUGCAAUUGCACCACUACCAGAUGGACCUGCGUUGUAUUAGCUAGUAGGUGAGGUAACGGCUCACCUAGGCGACGAUACAUAGCCGACCUGAGAGGGUGAUCGGCCACACUGGGACUGAGACACGGCCCAGACUCCUACGGGAGGCAGCAGUAGGGAAUCUUCGGCAAUGGACGAAAGUCUGACCGAGCAACGCCGCGUGAGUGAAGAAGGUUUUCGGAUCGUAAAGCUCUGUUGUAAGAGAAGAACGGGUGUGAGAGUGGAAAGUUCACACUGUGACGGUAGCUUACCAGAAAGGGACGGCUAACUACGUG
rnacentral:rRNA from 1 species